CCAUAAACAGAGGGAAAUGUAGAAUAUUGCAUAUUCUAUAUGUUCCUAUUCAAAUACAUAUUAAGGUGUGGUUGUCUAAUGGGUUAAACAGAACAGAUGGUGUUUGCUAUUCUGUACCAUGAGGUCUCUGGAAUUUGCUGUAUAAGAGAUCUGAGGCGGUCUUUAUAUAGGGAACUUCCUUAUAUGGCAGAGUCUAAACUAAACGUUAUGACGUAAUUUGGGCUAUAUAGAGCCAAGGACAAAGGACUACACUCUCUUCCUGCUACGAUCCGUUUUGCUCUCCUCUUUGAUGUCCUGAGUUGCUG